AUAGUAACGUGCAACGUCGUUGGGAGCAUCGUGUGGUCUUUAACGUCAGUCUCGUCGCGACCGUCUUCGCACGUCUCGUAACGUAACGUCGAAAAAACGAUACGUCGAGCGAACGAUCGGCAUAGCCAUCAGCUAUCACAUCGCAUAAAAACGCGAUCGACUUCCAAUUACGCGUGUUUCGAAGCGAGUCGUCGAAAGUUUUCGUGGUAAUCGCGUUUAAAGGCUGCAGGAAAGCUGCAACUCUUCUUCGGUACCCAAACCCCGCAGCGGAACUCGCGCAGGAAGAGCAACGCCUCAUACUCCAGGCGUUUUCGAGGCGAGUCUUCGCCGAGAGGGCAUCCACCCGGGCGGUGGAAAUCAUCCAUCCCCGAUCAGCGCGACGACUAAAGUCGUCUCGAGCGAGAGGCGACAUCGUGAACGAGGCAGAGCGACAAAAGGUCACGCCAUGCCGGCAGGUAUUGGCGCUUCGUACAGGUCAUUAGGUGACCUGGGCGAAGACGUUUACAAAAGCACAACCAUCGUCGACCAAACACAAACCACCGGCCAAAGCGUCUUCGAUUCCGUCAAGAAAGCUUUUAACUUCGCUUCGCCGAAGGUUGAAAUCCGGAAGAAGGACCCGCUGAUCGAGGACCGUCGCGAAAGCGUCUCGAUCGUCUCAAGGGAGAGAAACAGGAUGCCGACAGCAGCCACUGCCGAGGAAUCUGCUCUGUUGGGCACGAUGCCUUCCGAUAGCAUGGACGACAUCGAGCUGAAGAAUAUUCAGCUGCAAUUUCCGGCACUGAGAUAUCUCUCCAGAGACGACAGCUCUGUGCGGGAAGAAAGGGUGGAGACCGACAAGGGGAGUUUACUGAUAGCAGUGCAAGGAAAUCGAGCAAAACCAGCUAUUCUCACUUAUCACGAUCUAGGCCUUAACUACAUCUCGAGCUUCCAGGCGUUCUUCAAUUACAUUGAUAUGCGUGUUUUACUCGAAAACUUUUGCGUAUAUCACGUAAACGCACCCGGACAAGAGGAAAAUGCGUCGACGCUACCCGAAGAUUAUGUUUAUCCGUCCAUGGAAGAGCUAGCAGAACAGCUGCUUUUCGUUCUUGGCCAUUUUGGCAUAAAAUCCGUAAUUGGUUUCGGGGUCGGUGCCGGCGCCAAUAUUUUGGCAAGAUUUGCACUCACCCAUCCGGAGAAAGUACACGCACUGUGCCUGAUAAACUGCGUGUCCACGCAAGCAGGAUGGAUCGAGUGGGGAUAUCAAAAGUUGAAUGUGCGCCACCUGAGAUCACAAGGCAUGACCCAGGGCGUUCUCGAUUAUCUAAUGUGGCAUCAUUUUGGCAGGGACUCUGAAGAGCGGAAUCAUGAUUUGGUUCAAGUAUACAAAAAUUACUUUGAGCGUCGUGUAAACCCAACGAAUCUCGCAUUAUUUAUCGACAGUUAUGUCCGCCGCACGGAUUUGAAUAUAACGAGGGAAUUGGACCCAACGCGCAAGAAGGAAGGAUUGACGCUUAGUGUGCCAGUAAUGAAUAUCACGGGUGCUCUAAGCCCUCAUGUCGACGAUACCGUAACGUUAAACGGACGCUUAGAUCCGAGAAACAGCUCUUGGAUGAAAAUAUCGGAUUGCGGUAUGGUAUUGGAAGAACAACCGGGUAAAGUAAGCGAGGCAUUCCGACUGUUUCUUCAGGGCGAAGGAUAUGUGGUGAGAUCCCCACGGAAGCCUGUGAAGCCGACAACACCCGAAGGUAAUUGUAAUUAGGAAUUGAAGGCCGCAAGGAGAGUCGAGCGCGCAGUUGGUCAAUUAGGCCACGUCUAUAUGUUAAUGGCCCCGCUGUCGCCGUUAAAAAUGGCAGACUUCAGAUUGGCUUCGUUGGAAGGACUAAAUCACAUCUGUAGCAAGAAGAUCGACUGGCCUACCGCGACCAUACAUAUCACGGAGAAUCCGAUUUCGGAGGCAGUCGUUUGUUAAGCAUUAUCGCCGAACCUCACUAUCACCAUCGUUUUUCGUUACGCAAUCAAAUGAGCAUAAUCGGAAAAAAAUGACGCGACUCGGACAUCCAUAAUUUAGGAAGGUUUCGUCGGGCAACGAUACCUCGCGGCACUAAUCGCUGAUUUCUUUCCGAAGCUAUCGUUAGUAUCACGUUUGUUUUAAAUCGUAAUCUGCGCUUAAUCACACGCGCUCAUAAUAAAUGUUUAAUUUUAAAUAGCUAUAAGUUACGAGUUUUAAAGAUGGAAAUUACUACUUAAGAGCUCAGAUGUUUUAUUGAAAUGACAUACAUGUCCGGUAUGCGAUGUUACCUGCUGCGAAGCACGAUCGGUUUAUUAAGGAUAAAUAAGAGACUAAUAUUAUUGUUGUACAAUCGGAUAUACGUUGAAUUUCAGCCUCUUCCAUUUUUUGAGAGGCUCAAUGAACGGUGCAAAGCGAUUUUAUAGAACGCAUCGUUCAUUUCUUAUUAACGACAACGUUUGCAAUCGUUUUAGAUGUUUACGGUUGUUGUCUAAAAAAUGUUUAUUUGAAUGAAAAAAAAAAUAUUUUUUAAAUUUUAAUCAACAUUCCUCUUGUGGAUAUUUCAA
rnacentral:misc_RNA from 1 species